rnacentral:lncRNA from 1 species
UACCAAUUCGAAUUUCUCAAAAAAAAGUGAUGUUUUCCCCAUAACAGGCUGCGUGAUUGGAUCUUGUGCUCCUCCAGAUAGUAUUAUAACCAAAGGGAUAAAAAAUAUAGUGCUUACUUGCUGAAAAAAUUGAAGAGAGAGACAGCUGAUGCAUACAAACAACAUAAGGAUCAAAACAUUCAAAUAUUAUAUACUAAAUAGUCGUUUCGUCUUACUUAAUAAUGUGAUUUUAGGGGCCUAAUGGAUAAUGAGGGUACUCAACUUACUUCAAAUUAUUCUCUUAUCAAAAUUGCAAGAAGGAGUAUCAUAAUUCCUCUUUAAAAGUAAUAUCUACGAUUUGUAUUUAAAUUCGCCUUGAAUCGCAUGAAGCCUAUAACAGCACAAUGAAGAACAUUUUCAUAAUUUAUUUUUUCUUAUAAAUUCCUAAUAUUCUCGUUUGUUCUAGUUCAUAAUAAUUUUAAUGAAAAAUGUUUUAGAAUAUUUAAGAUAAAUAAACAUAAAGUUUAGUUAA